rnacentral:rRNA from 1 species
UACGGGGGGGGCAAGCGUUGUUCGGAAUUACUGGGCGUAAAGGGCUCGUAGGCGGCCAACUAAGUCAGACGUGAAAUCCCUCGGCUUAACCGGGGAACUGCGUCUGAUACUGGAUGGCUUGAGUUUGGGAGAGGGAUGCGGAAUUCCAGGUGUAGCGGUGAAAUGCGUAGAUAUCUGGAGGAACACCGAUGGCGAAGGCAGGUCUCUGGGCAUUAACUGACGCUGAGGAGCGAAAGCAUGGGGAGCGAAACAGGG